CCUACGGGAGGCUGCAGUGAGGAAUAUUGGUCAAUGGACGCGAGCCUGAACCAGCAAUGUCGCGUGCAGGAUGACUGCCCUACGGGUUGUAAACUGCUUUUGUAAGGGAAUAAAGUGAGACACGGGUACCUGUUUGUAUGUACUUUAUGAAUAAGGAUCGGCUAACUCCGUGCCAGCAGCCGCGGUAAUACGGAGGAUCCGAGCGUUAUCCGGAUUUAUUGGGUUUAAAGGGAGCGUAGACGGUUUGUUAAGUCAGUGGUGAAAGUUUGCGGCUCAACCGAAGAAUUGCAAUUGAUACUGGCAGCCUUGAGUACAGUUGAGGUAGGCGGAAUGCGUGGUGUAGCGGUGAAAUGCUUAGAGAUCACGAAGAACUCCGAUUGCGAAGGCAGCUUACUAAACUGCCACUGACAUUGAGGCUCGAAAGUGUGGGGAUCAAACAGGAUUAGAUACCCCAGUAGUC
rnacentral:rRNA from 1 species